CCUACGGGAGGCAGCAGUGGGGAAUAUUGCACAAUGGGGGAAACCCUGAUGCAGCGACGCCGCGUGAGUGACGAAGUAAUCCGUUAUGUAAAGCUCUAUCAGCAGGGAAGAAAAUUACGGUACCUGAGUAAGACGCCCCGGCUAACUACGUGCCAGCAGCCGCGGUAAGACGUAGGGGGCAAGCGUUAUCCGGAUUUACUGGGUGUAAAGGGAGCGUAGGCGGCAGUGCAAGUCUGGAGUGAAAGGCGGGGGCUCAACCCCCGGACUGCUCUGGAGACUGGACGGCUGGAGUGGAGGAGAGGUAAGUGGAAUUCCUAGUGUAGCGGUGAAAUGCGUAGAUAUUAGGAGGAACACCAGUGGCGAAGGCGGCUUACUGGACUGUAACUGACGUUGAGGCUCGAAAGCGUGGGGAGCAAACAGGAUUAGAUACCCGGGUAGUC
rnacentral:rRNA from 1 species